AGCCACCACACUGAGCCCCUACUGGGGCACUGCUUAGUGGAGCUGUGAGAAGAGGGGCACUGUCCUCCAGAUCCCAGAAUGGUAGAUCCACUGACAACUUACACCGUUCACCUGGAAAAGCCACAGAUGCUCAACGCCAGCCCUUGCAAGCAGCCAGGAGGGAGGCUGUACUCUGCAAACCUACAGGGACAGAGUUAGUCAAGUCCACAGAAACUCACUUCUUGAAUCAGUGCGACCUGGAUAUGAGACAUGGAGUCAAAGGAGACCAUUUUGGAACUUUAGGUUUAACUGCCCUCCUGGAUUUCAGACUUGUCUGGGGUCUGUAGUCCCUUUGUUUUGGCCAAUUUCUCCCAUUUGGAACAGCUGUAUUAACCCAAUGCCUGUACCCACAAUUGGGCCUAGGAAGUAACUAUCAUUCUUUUGGUCUUACAGGCUCAUAGGUUGAAGGGUCUUACCUUGUCUCAGAUAAGACUUUGGACUGUGAACUUUUGAGUUAAUGUUGAGAUGAGUUGAGACUAUGGGGGACUGCUGGAAAGGCAUGAUUGGUUUUGAAAUGUGAGGACAUGAUAUUUGUGAGGGGCCAGGGGCAGAGUGAUAUGGUUUGGCUGUGUCCCCAACCAAAUCCCAUCUUGAAUUCUCACAGGUUGUGGGAGGUACCCGGUGGUUGGUAAUUGAAUCAGGAGGGCAGGUCUUCUCUAUGCUGUUCUUAUGAUAGUGAGUAAGUCUCAUGAGAUCUGAUGGUUUUAUAAAGAGGAGUUCCCCUGCACAAGCUCUCUCUCUUUGCCUGCCACCAUCCACGUUAAGAUGUGACUUGCUCCUCCUUCUGCCAUGGUUGAGAGGCCCCCCCAGCUUAUGGAAUCGUAAGUGACACAAGCAGAAUCAACCUUCGGAAGAUCAUCUAUUUCCUGCUGGGUUGACCUGGAAUGUGUGAUAUGACCUAAGUAACUGACAGCCUAUGUGCAGAGUUCCUAAAUAACGAAGCCAGACCAUCAUUGCUAUGGGUGAAGCCAGGAAGUGACUGUGGAUGUGAACAAAUGUGAGAUUCAUGUACACGUCUCCAAAGACAGAGGCCACUGAUCUGGGGAGAACCUGCAGUCAUUUCACUUUCCCAUACCCAGAUGAGAGGACACCUUGAUCUGUGUUCAUCUGAUGAACUCUAAAAUCUGGACCAUAUUCUGAAGGUGUAGUUCACACUUCUUUUCUGUGCUAGUGGGACUCUCUCACUGACGUGUAUUGUACCCUCUGCAUAGGACAGUCUGUGAUACAUACUACUUGUUUUCUGCUAAACACCCAUCAAUCAUGUCAUUUAUGAGUCUUCCAUAGGUGUUACCUAACCUAUGGCUAUGGGGUCUUCCAAAAGAAUGGGCCGGAGGUGGAGCUGUGAAACUGUAGCUGGAUAAAAAGUGUAAAUGUCAAGAAAGGGUAUUGAAGUGGUGAUAAUAAUAAUAAUAAUCCAAAUUAGUCUGGGCUCUUGGCUGUGAUUACUGGUAAAUGUGAAAGAGUCUAGGUUUGGUUUUUAUUAGUUUUAUUUCAACUGAUAAAGUAGCCAGAGUAAAGUGCAUAAAUCUUGAAUGUUCAACUGAAUACAGUUUUUGUGUAAUUCAUUGUCCAAAUGGAAUGAUAGAAUAUUUCACAUUCCCUUGUGCUUCCCUCAUGGACAAUCUUUGUCAGUUAUCACCCCUCCCACCCAGCAAAAUUAACUGUCUUUCUGACAUCUAUACAAUCAUUUAGGUUUUCCUGUCUUAAACUUUAUAUAAAUAGCAUUAAGUGUAUUUUUAUCUUUUUAGACUUGGUAUUGCUCCUUACAACUUUUGAGGCCUUCAUUUCUUUCAGAGGAUUCAAGGUCCUGUCUUAUGUCAUUUCCUGUGAUUCUGAAGGAUUUUCUCUCAAAUGUCUUGUAAGAGACAUAGCUGCUAUGAAUGAAUGUAUUUUGUUUAUCAAAUAAUUUUUUUGCUUUUUCUUUAGAUUUGAAGGGUAUUUUCGAUGGAUAUAGAUUUCCUG
rnacentral:lncRNA from 10 species